CGUGGAUGAUUGUGGGAUUGUAAGAAGAGCUUGAAGAGAGGCGGUAGUGUUUGAACGCUGGUGUGCAUGGAUGGGGUUAAAGUUUCCCCAUCCAGAUGGCCACGUAUAUAUGAAGAGCAAAUCAGCCGCUCAUCAGGUUUUGGGUGUUCAGAGGAGGAACAAGACUGAACUUCAACCCGCAGUGCUGUGUUUGUCUCUUCCUAGUCUGAUGUCAGCGCCAAGUCAUCCCUGUCACACUACUGUAAGGAAAAGAAAACACAAAAUGUCCUUUUUAAACAACAUACAAAUACACAUGAUUGGGAGGAGAACAUUCGGUCCAUCAACGCUUGUCCGGUUCCUACAUGGAUCCCAAUGACUCAACAACAUGGCUAGGUAACCCAUUCAUACCCUCACCACUCUCUGUCCUAAUUCUGUCUCCACUUAAUUACCAGCUGUGUUCUCUGGUCCUGUGCUGUGCUUAAAGUAUUGGCUAGGGCUAACUUCAUCAACUUCUACUAAAGUAUUGGCUAGGGCUAACUUCAUCAACUUCUAUUAAGUCUUUAAAGACUUCCAUCAGGUCUGCCCUAAUUCUUCUUUGCUCCUGUCUAAAUAAAAUCACUCCCUUAUAAAGGUAACAUUUUAGGAUUGAAUCCUGGAAAGGGUUAUUUUAAGUGCUCCCUUUACUUUAACUAAGCCUGUACCAAUAACAACUACGAAACUAUAUUAAGUGAAAGCUAAUGUAAUCCCUGAAACACACUGUGCUAAAAAUAUACUUUACAUGCUGGAGAUUCUUGCAGUUGAUAUCUGUGACAUCUGUUCCCUGGAUUACCACAUUUAUAAGAUAAGACGAAAGCCUUCUAAGCAAGCACUCUAAACAAUGAAGCUUCUGCUAAGAAUAGCAGAGAUAAAAACAAUACCAGCCUGACCCGGUUGUUAAAGCACCACACAUAUGUUGCCUUUUUUAAUUUUAUAUCUAUUGUAAGAACACAAAGCUUGUUGUUUUUCUAAAUCUGUUCAGUGGUCCAAGGUACAUGUUGUUCAAACUUAACUGUUGUUUUAAUUUGUUAAGACAUGAUUUA